AUAUUCUUUUAAAAUUCACAUGAAAAGCAUUUUCCUAAAUAUGCCUUGAGCUAACUUAAUGACAAUAAGCAUAAUUCAUGACUAAGCCACAAAUUGGCACAAAAGACAUCUAAGCCGGAGAAAUAGUUUAUGUGAAGAGGGCUGGCAUAUGUUUUAAGUGAAGACACACGCAUACACACGCAUAUGUAUAGGUGUGUGUGUGUGUGUGGCAUUAUAAAAAAUGCAUUUAUGCGCAAUUUGCAGAGCCAUUAGAAACAAUUUUCAUGCAUAAGAUGAGCGGCAGCGGCAGGAAGAAAUGGACAAAGCACGCAGCCAGGCAGACUAGUCCAGACAGACAGAGACAGAGGCAGUGGGAUAGAGGGUGAGAGGGAGAGGGAAACAAGUCGACUGCAAUGCACACAGUUUGGCCUAAAAAGCAAUUGACCUGCUAAUUGGGAAUUUCAAAUGGAAAUGACAGUAGCCGUAGCAGUGGCAGUCGCAGUGCCAGAGAGAAGCGCAGCACAAAAAGGAAAUGGACGAAAAUCGGCAACAAAAACAAAGGCUACAAAAUAAAAAAAAAAGGAACGCCAUGAAAACAACAAA